AUGGAUAUAACUCUGAGGUAGAGUGCUUGCCUAGCAUGCAUGAGGCCUUGGGUUCAAUACCCAGUGCCCCAA
rnacentral:tRNA from 1 species